UCGUAACUAUUCUGGUAAGUGAUCGAACUUUUGGUUUGUGUACUACGUUCAAGUAUGUCAAUUGGGGUUUUGAUAAUUGGUGUUUCGGUACUUAAAUUUAAUCGUUAGAAUGCUAUUUUUAGGUUCUGGUUGGCUCGGGAUCGCAAUAGCAUCAAAAAUAAACCUGGUGUGUACCUAAAACACGAGAAAAUAAAGUUUAAAAAAGCUAAAAAUUAGGUCUGUCGAUGCCACACGGGCGUGUGGCCGGUCGUGUGGUUGGCCGUGUGCGACACACGAUAGUGUGACUGUCGAGGGUGUGGCCGUGUGCAAGAGACGACAAUAUGACGACGAUUGUGUGGCCAUGUGGGCCACACGGCUAGGCCGGAUUGGGCGUGUCAACUUUAAGCCAAGUCAUGUUGGCCACAUUGGUAAGGACAAUUUAAACGUGUAGGCCACGCGGAUGUGUGGGUCCACACGGGUAAGCCACAUUGGCAUGUGGGCCUAAAACUCUGAAAUUCUCCUUAGGCUCACACGGGUUAUUCUGGUUAACUAUGGGCCUACCAUAGGGUCGCUAAGCGCUAAAUAAACCCAUUUGUAUGUAUCUAUUAAUCUGAUAGUCUGAUCUGAAUAGGAAACUGAUAUGUAUGUCUGACUGUUCUGCAUAAGUAUAAUGUUUGUAUACGAGCAUGUUAAUUAUGUGAUUCUGUAUUUGUUAUCUGCAUGUUGUAUCUGUAUUUGGGGUGGGAUUUGUAUAUGUGGAGGAAGUAAUCUGUACAGCAACCUUUCGCCUAAUUUCUAGCAACUUGACUGAACUUUAUUCUGUUAUGUGUCGCAUCGACACUAUCUGGUAUGUAGGGAUGGGUGAGUGUUUUUAACCCCAUAUGGUGUAAUGGGAUGGUCGGAGAUGGUGUGUAAAGGAUAUGGGUAGGAUUCUGUAUAUCUGUUCUGUUUAUCUGAUUCUGAUAUUUGUAUCUAUUAAGGACUUAAGUCCAAACCCGUAUCUAUCUACAUAUGAGAUUCUGUGUAUGUUGCAUGACUAUCUCUGUUGGGUUACACACUGAGUUUAGAAAACUUACAUCUGUUUUUCUGUUCUGUUCAGGUAAUCCUCAAACAUAGGCGGGUCAGUGCGACGGAGGCUCAACAGUGACCACUUGUCAGAAAACUAUUAUUUUUUCCUAUCCUUAUUUACCGAUUUUACUUAAUUUCUGGUUUUCGAGAGAGUUUUAUAAUUUUUGGACUCUCCAGACUUUUGAGACUAUUCAUUUUGGAUUUUUGGUUUGGUUACCUUUAUGAUUUUUAAG
rnacentral:lncRNA from 1 species